AACGAACGCUGGCGGCAUGCCUAACACAUGCCAGUCGAACGAGACCUUCGGGUCUAGAGGCGCACGGGUGCGUAACGCGUGGGAACCUGCCCUUAGGUUCGGAAUAACUCCCCGAAAGGGGUGCUAAUACCGGAUAAUGUCUUCGGACCAAAGAUUUAUCGCCUUUGGAUGGGCCCGCGUUGGAUUAGCUAGUUGGUAGGGUAAAAGCCUACCAAGGCGACGAUCCAUAGCUGGUCUGAGAGGAUGAUCAGCCACACUGGGACUGAGACACGGCCCAGACUCCUACGGGAGGCAGCAGUGGGGAAUAUUGGACAAUGGGCGAAAGCCUGAUCCAGCAAUGCCGCGUGAGUGAUGAAGGCCUUAGGGUUGUAAAGCUCUUUUACCCGGGAUGAUAAUGACAGUACCGGGAGAAUAAGCUCCGGCUAACUCCGUG
rnacentral:rRNA from 1 species